rnacentral:lncRNA from 1 species
UAAAACAUAGGAAAUGUUAAGACAGAAGAAGGAAGGCCCAAGUGUGGACUAGGCAAGGCCCAUCCCACACAACCCCCCGCACUCAUCCCCAACCUCCUGCUACAGAGAGGCGGGGGGAUCGUGGCGGGCAUCCACGCCAUGGCCGCGCCCCUGGGCGACGUGUCGGCGAUCCCACGGCUUCCUGGGACGAUAAGGCGUCGUCCCGUGCCCCUCCUCGAACCCUAGCUUCUUCUCCCCCUCUCCCCGCUCUCGCUCUCCCGUUACAGAAGCCGCCCGCCGCCACCUCGUCGAUCCGGUGGCCACCGACCUCCCCGGCACCUAAGGAGACAUCCAGCAGCCUCCUCGCGGUCGUCUCCUUCCUCUCCACCGAGGAACCCGAGUCGGGACGCUCCGCACGCUCGCCAUCGCCGUCGUCUUCGCCCACGGCCGCCACAUCUCGUCGACGGUUGCCGCUGCUCCGAUCCGUCCCCGCGGCAACCGAGGUGUCCACAAGCCCCGGGGUGAGCUCCUUGACCGAUUGCCCUCGUUUUCCCCUUCGAUCCGUAGCCGUAGCCUUCGCCUUGUGCUCGCUGUAGUCGCCAUGGCCGUAGCUUUGCGUCCGCGUACGAGCUCUUUAGCUCAUGGCCGCGCCCUUGCCGGCCACCCGCGUCCGCGCCCUUGGUCCUGGGGUGAGCCCAUGGCCCCCCUGCCCGCUGUUACUGCUACCUGCUGAUGCUCCCUGCUACCGCUCUCUGCUGCUGGCUGCUCAUGCGCUGACCUUGGCUGUGGCCGUUGCCAUGGCCGAGCGCCCCUGUUCUCUAUGCGUGUGUGUGUGUGUGUGUUGUGUGCAUCCAGCGUGUGUGUGUAAGUGUGUGCGUGGUGGCCGCAGGCUCUCUGGAUGAGGCCGGCUUCUUAGUCAGCUAAUUAGUGCUCCUACUAGUUAGACUAAUUAGUGGUUAGGUUUAGUGCAAAUAACAUGUGGACCCUCAGUAAUAGUUAAAAGAUAAAUUUAGAUUUAAAAUAUCUAAGGCCAUGACAUGUGGACCCUACCUCACCUUUUUACCAGUCAAAGUGAAAUGGUUGACCAGCCCCCCGGUCCCAUUGUCAUACACAUAGGCUAGAGUAACACUAGGUAACAAAAGGUUUUGCUGUUUUAUUCUCGAAUUAAACAAAUUCCAAAAUGUUUAAAUCUUAGAAAAUUAAUAUAAAAUAAUCCGUAACUCGGAUGAAAAUGUUUUCCACAUGAAAGUUGCUCAGAACGACGAGACGAAUCCGAAUACGCAGCCUGUUCGUCAGCCACACGUCACUAGCAUAGCGAACCUGCAACAUUUCACCUCCGGUUCAUCUGUCCGAAAACGCGAAACACCGGGGAUACUUUCCCGGAUGUUUCCCCCUUUCGCUGGUAUCACCUACUACCGCGUUAGGCCACACCUAGCAGCGCUCAUUGUCAUGUCUUGCAUCGUCAUGUUUAUGUUUGCAUUAUAUUUAUUGUUUCUUCCCCCUCUUCUCUCGGUAGACUAUGAGACCGACGUUGCCCCUGCCCCGUUCGACUACGGAGUUGACGACCCCUCCUUCUUGCCAGAGCAACCAGGCAAGCCCCCCCUUGAUCAUCAGAUAUCGCCUAUUCUUCUCUAUACUGCUUGCAUUAGAGUAGUGUAGCAUGUUACUGCUUUCGGUUAAUCAUAUUCUGAUGCAUAGCCUGUCAUUGUUGCUACAGUUGUUACCCUUACCUGCUAUCCUACUGCUUAGUAUAGGAUGCUAGUGUUCCAUCAGUGGCCCUACACUCUUGUCCGUCUGCCAUGCUAUACUAUCGGGCCGUGAUCACUAGGGAGGUGAUCACGGGUAUAUACUUUAUACUUUAUAUACAUGACACAUGUGGUGGCUAAAGUCGGGUCAGCUCGUUGAGUACCCGCAAGUGAUUCUGAUGAGGGGGCUGAAAGGACAGGUGGCUCCAUCCCGGUAGAGGUGGGCCUGGGUUCCUGACGGCCCCCGGCUGUUACUUUGUGGUGGAGCGACAGGGCAGGUUGAGACCACCUAGGAGAGAGGUGGGCCUGGCCCUGGUCGGCGUCCGCGGAUACUUAAAAAUAACACGCUUAACGAGAUCUUGGUAUUUGAUCCGAGUCUGGCCACUGGCCUAUACGCACUAACCAACUACGCGGAAACAUUUAUGGGCACUCGACGUCGUGGUAGCAGCCGAAGCCUUCGUGACGUCAGCGACGAAGCGGCGCGCGCCGGAUUGGACUGGAACGUGCUAGGCUAGGUCUGCUUCCGGCCGCCCUCGCAACGUGCAGGUGUGCAAUGGGCGAUGGGCCCAGACCCCUGCGCCAUAGGAUUUAGACCGGCGUGCUGACCUCUCUGUUGUGCCUAGGUGGGGCUGCGACGUGUUGAUCUUCCGCGGCCGGGCAUGACCCAGAAAAGUGUGUCCGGCCAAAUGGGAUCGAGCGUGUUGGGUUAUAUGGUGCACCCCUGUAGGGAAGUUUAUCUAUUCGAAUAGCCGUGUCCCUCGGUAAAAGGACGACCCGGAGUUGUACCUUGACCUUAUGACAACUAUAACCGGAUACUUAAUAAAACACACCCUUUCAAGUGCCAGAUACAACCCGGUGAUCGCUCUCUAACAGGGCGACGAGGAAGGGAUCGCCGGGUAGGAUUAUGCUAUGCGAUGCUACUUGGUGAACUUACCAUCUACUCUCUUCUACAUGCUGCAAGAUGGAGGUGGCCAGAAGCUUAGUCUUCGACAGGAUUAGCUAUCCCCCUCUUAUUCUGGCAUUCUGCAGUUCAGUCCACCGAUAUGGCCCUUUACACAUAUACCCAUGCAUAUGUAGUGUAGCUCCUUGCUUGCGAGUACUUUGGAUGAGUACUCACGGUUGCUUUUCUCCCUCUUUUCCCCUUUCUAUACCUGGUUGUCGCAACCAGAUGCUGGAGUCCAGGAGCUAGAGAUCCCGAGGAUGAUUCUACAUGGAGUUCGGCUUCGAGGAGUAGUUAGGAGGUCCCAGGCAGGAGGCCUUGCCUUUUCGAUCGUUGCUACUUUUGUGCUAGCCUUCUUAAGGCAAUUUGUUUAACUUAUGUCUGUACUCAGAUAUUGUUGCUUCCGCUGACUCGUCUAUGAUCGAGCACUUGUAUUCGAGCCCUCGAGGCCCCUGGCUUGUAUUAUGAUGCUUGUAUGACUUAUUUAUAUUUAAGAGUUGUGUUGUGAUAUCUUUCCGUGAGUCCCUGAUCUUGAUCGUACACGUUUGUGUGCAUGAUUAGUGUACGAUUGAAUCGGGGGCGUCACAGUGGAUUCAAAUGGUUA